rnacentral:lncRNA from 1 species
GGAAAAAGAAUUGUCUUCUCUGAUUAUUGUUUCGUUAAGUGUUACGAGUGUAUGGACUUACAAAUGAGUUCAAAAGCUAUAACGUUUUAGAAAAUGUUUGGUUAUGAGGCAGGAGGCCAUUGAUGUUAAUUGCACGUUAGUAUCUUGUGCAUGCUACCGGUUGAGAUUUAUAAAUAUUUUUGAUAUGUUUAAAAAUUUU